UUAAGUUAUUAAGGGCGCACGGUGGAUGCCUUGGCACUAGAAGCCGAUGAAGGACGUUACUAACGACGAUAUGCUUUGGGGAGCUGUAAGUAAGCUUUGAUCCAGAGAUUUCCGAAUGGGGAAACCCAGCAUGAGUUAUGUCAUGUUAUCGAUAUGUGAAUACAUAGCAUAUCAGAAGGCACACCCGGAGAACUGAAACAUCUUAGUACCCGGAGGAAGAGAAAGAAAAUUCGAUUCCCUUAGUAGCGGCGAGCGAAACGGGAAGAGCCCAAACCAACAAGCUUGCUUGUUGGGGUUGUAGGACACUCUAUACGGAGUUACAAAGGACGACAUUAGACGAAUCAUCUGGAAAGAUGAAUCAAAGAAGGUAAUAAUCCUGUAGUCGAAAAUGUUGUCUCUCUUGAGUGGAUCCUGAGUACGACGGAGCACGUGAAAUUCCGUCGGAAUCUGGGAGGACCAUCUCCUAAGGCUAAAUACUCUCUAGUGACCGAUAGUGAACCAGUACCGUGAGGGAAAGGUGAAAAGCACCCCGGAAGGGGAGUGAAAUAGAACCUGAAACCGUGUGCUUACAAGUAGUCAGAGCCCGUUAAUGGGUGAUGGCGUGCCUUUUGUAGAAUGAACCGGCGAGUUACGAUUUGAUGCAAGGUUAAGCAGUAAAUGUGGAGCCGUAGCGAAAGCGAGUCUGAAUAGGGCGUUUAGUAUUUGGUCGUAGACCCGAAACCAGGUGAUCUACCCUUGGUCAGGUUGAAGUUCAGGUAACACUGAAUGGAGGACCGAACCGACUUACGUUGAAAAGUGAGCGGAUGAACUGAGGGUAGCGGAGAAAUUCCAAUCGAACCUGGAGAUAGCUGGUUCUCUCCGAAAUAGCUUUAGGGCUAGCCUCAAGUGAUGAUUAUUGGAGGUAGAGCACUGUUUGGACGAGGGGCCCCUCUCGGGUUACCGAAUUCAGACAAACUCCGAAUGCCAAUUAAUUUAACUUGGGAGUCAGAACAUGGGUGAUAAGGUCCGUGUUCGAAAGGGAAACAGCCCAGACCACCAGCUAAGGUCCCAAAAUAUAUGUUAAGUGGAAAAGGAUGUGGCGUUGCCCAGACAACUAGGAUGUUGGCUUAGAAGCAGCCAUCAUUUAAAGAGUGCGUAAUAGCUCACUAGUCGAGUGACACUGCGCCGAAAAUGUACCGGGGCUAAACAUAUUACCGAAGCUGUGGAUUGUCCUUUGGACAAUGGUAGGAGAGCGUUCUAAGGGCGUUGAAGCAUGAUCGUAAGGACAUGUGGAGCGCUUAGAAGUGAGAAUGCCGGUGUGAGUAGCGAAAGACGGGUGAGAAUCCCGUCCACCGAUUGACUAAGGUUUCCAGAGGAAGGCUCGUCCGCUCUGGGUUAGUCGGGUCCUAAGCUGAGGCCGACAGGCGUAGGCGAUGGAUAACAGGUUGAUAUUCCUGUACCACCUAUAAUCGUUUUAAUCGAUGGGGGGACGCAGUAGGAUAGGCGAAGCGUGCGAUUGGAUUGCACGUCUAAGCAGUAAGGCUGAGUAUUAGGCAAAUCCGGUACUCGUUAAGGCUGAGCUGUGAUGGGGAGAAGACAUUGUGUCUUCGAGUCGUUGAUUUCACACUGCCGAGAAAAGCCUCUAGAUAGAAAAUAGGUGCCCGUACCGCAAACCGACACAGGUAGUCAAGAUGAGAAUUCUAAGGUGAGCGAGCGAACUCUCGUUAAGGAACUCGGCAAAAUGACCCCGUAACUUCGGGAGAAGGGGUGCUCUUUAGGGUUAACGCCCAGAAGAGCCGCAGUGAAUAGGCCCAAGCGACUGUUUAUCAAAAACACAGGUCUCUGCUAAACCGUAAGGUGAUGUAUAGGGGCUGACGCCUGCCCGGUGCUGGAAGGUUAAGAGGAGUGGUUAGCUUCUGCGAAGCUACGAAUCGAAGCCCCAGUAAACGGCGGCCGUAACUAUAACGGUCCUAAGGUAGCGAAAUUCCUUGUCGGGUAAGUUCCGACCCGCACGAAAGGCGUAACGAUUUGGGCACUGUCUCAACGAGAGACUCGGUGAAAUCAUAGUACCUGUGAAGAUGCAGGUUACCCGCGACAGGACGGAAAGACCCCGUGGAGCUUUACUGUAGCCUGAUAUUGAAAUUCGGCACAGCUUGUACAGGAUAGGUAGGAGCCUUUGAAACGUGAGCGCUAGCUUACGUGGAGGCGCUGGUGGGAUACUACCCUAGCUGUGUUGGCUUUCUAACCCGCACCACUUAUCGUGGUGGGAGACAGUGUCAGGCGGGCAGUUUGACUGGGGCGGUCGCCUCCUAAAAGGUAACGGAGGCGCUCAAAGGUUCCCUCAGAAUGGUUGGAAAUCAUUCAUAGAGUGUAAAGGCAUAAGGGAGCUUGACUGCGAGCCCUACAAGUCGAGCAGGGUCGAAAGACGGACUUAGUGAUCCGGUGGUUCCGCAUGGAAGGGCCAUCGCUCAACGGAUAAAAGCUACCCCGGGGAUAACAGGCUUAUCUCCCCCAAGGUUCACAUCGACGGGGAGGUUUGGCACCCUCGAUGUCGGCUCAUCGCAUCCUGGGGCUGUAGUCGGUCCCAAGGGUUGGGCUGUUCGCCCAUUAAAGCGGUACGCGAGCUGGGUUCAGAACGUCGUGAGACAGUUCGGUCCCUAUCCGUCGUGGGCGUAGGAAAUUUGAGAGGAGCUGUCCUUAGUACGAGAGGACCGGGAUGGACAUACCUCUGGUGUACCAGUUGUCGUGCCAACGGCAUAGCUGGGUAGCUAUGUGUGGACGGGAUAAGUGCUGAAAGCAUCUAAGCAUGAAGCCCCCCUCAAGAUGAGAUUUCCCAACUUCGGUUAUAAGAUCCCUCAAAGAUGAUGAGGUUAAUAGGUUCGAGGUGGAAGCAUGGUGACAUGUGGAGCUGACGAAUACUAAUCGAUCGAAGACUUAAUCAA
rnacentral:rRNA from 1 species